rnacentral:rRNA from 1 species
CUACGGGACGCACCAGUGAGGAAUAUUGCACAAUGGGGGCAACCCUGAUGCAGCAACGCCGCGUGAGUGAUGAAGCAGUUUAUCUGUGUAAAGCUCUGUUAAUCGGGACGAAAUUUAGGGUUAGUUGCCUUAUUUGACGGUACCGGUUGAGGAAGCUCCGGCUAACUCCGUGCCAGCAGCCGCGGUAAUACGGGGGGAGCGAGCGUGUGUCCGGAUUUAUUGGGCGUAAAGGGCAUGUAGGUGGUCUUUUAAGUCAGUUGUUAAAAAUAUCGGCUUAACCGGUAAUUGCAAUUGAUACUGGAAGACUUGAAUUUGAGAGGGGAUAGUGGAAUAUCAAGUGUAGCGGUGGAAUGCGUAGAUAUUUGAUAGAACACCUGAGGUGCAGACGACUAUCUGGCUCAUGAUUGACACUGAGAUGCGAAAGUAUGGGGAGCAAACAGGAUUAGAUACCCCCGUAGUC